AUACUUACCUUGUGGAAAUGGCCGUUGAUCAAGCAUAGCGGCGUUGCGAUACGAGUCCUCCAUUGCACAUCGGGGCGACGAGAAUCGUUCAGUUACCUGGCGGGUACCUGAUCGGCGGAAUUUUUGAUUGCACACCAACCUUCGUGGA
rnacentral:snRNA from 1 species